AUGGGUCCGUGCAGGUCGGAAAUGUCCCUCUGGGACCCCUCUGCCACCAGCGCAGGCUCCUGGGGGCUGUUGCUGACCCUCCUCGUCCUGCACCCACUGCCCGGCCGCCCACGAAUGCUUGGAGCUGGCCCGCACCAUCGAGGGCGUCCUCAAGGAGCUGCGCAGCGUCCCUCGGGACAUCCCCGCGGACACCCGCAGCCUCUUCCGCACCGGCAGCCCCAUCGCCCGCGUCGGCAGCCGGGACCUCCAGGGGCUGCCCAGCCUCAGCACCAUCACCCUCUCGCUGGCCAGCAACUGGUGAGACCCCGGCAGGGGGGUUGUGGGGCCCCCAUGGCAUUGCUGCACCGCUCCGGGGGAUUUUGGGGUUUGGGGGGGGAGGUCCUCAAUGCUUGUGCCCAAAUCCCCCACUCCCUUCCUUUGGGCCAAAGUGGGGGCUCAGCCCAGCAAGGGGCGCACGCUGGAGGGAUGGUGUGUGCGCCCAGCCGGUGCCCCACGCCGGGGUGCUGCGGGGCGCUCGCACCCCUCCACCCCGGAAAGGAGCUGCCUUCGCCCGGGCGCCUCUCCGGGGGAAGGCAGGGCACCCGCUGGCCUGGGCACCGGCGAUCCGGGCGCAGUUCUGGCUCGGGAGAGAGGAACCCCGUGCUUGGGGUGGGACGUCGCUGGGCUGGACCCGGGGCAGGAGAGACGGUGCCGAUGCCGGCGCAUGUUCCCUGCCUCAGUUUCCCCCUGGCAAGACCAGCCUCGUUCGGGAAGCCCCGGCUGCACCUCGCGGACCAGAAGAACGGGUCCGAUGGGAGCAGGGCUGGGGCGCGGGAUGGGAAUCGCUCCUUGCACCCGUUCCCUUCCCGCCAUGCGAGCGGCGGGGCCGGGCGCUGGCUCUGGGCAUGCCCCGGCUGGCGCCCACGCGCUCCCCGACCGCCCCGCGCAGAAAUGAGGCAGAACCUGUUCUCGGCGCCCGCUCGGCCGCCACGGAGCCGGUGCCAGCGCCCGGCGGGGCCGCCCCACUCUGUGUCUGCGUCUGCGCCCCGCGGCCGGGGCAGGAUGUGGCCGGCGCAAGCGCAGGGUGCUCUGCCUGCUGGGUGCUGCUCCCCUCGAACGGUGAAAUCGGGGCUCAACCGGGUCCCUGGGGAAGGGGAGAGGGUUUUGCUCCAUCGGACGGUGGCUCGUGCCGUAUCUGGAGCAGCUGGGGCAUUGUGCAGGGCUCCAGGCCUGGAGUCUCUGCAAGAAAAACUGUCCUCAGGGAUGUCCCAGCUCCUUGCCUGGCUUUUCCUGGGGACCAGGGCGUUCCCAGAUGCCACAGUCUGA
rnacentral:lncRNA from 1 species